GAAAAACUGACUGAUUAUUCAAACCCCUUUCUCUCUUCUUUUCCUUUCUUUCCUUUGCACCACGAUUGGAUUGAUCGACCCCGUCUUCAUUAUCUUCCCUUCUCCUUUCUCUCUUCUGGCCCCUACUGGGGAUUCCGGACUAAACUAUGGCAGGGCUCAAUUGAUCCUCCGCAAUUCACUCGCUCCUCGCGAGGAGGAAAAACUGCACCGCUGCAUAAUUCAAAAAGCAAACACAGAGAGGAGAGGGAGAGAGGAAAAAUCAAUACGGCUACAACUGAUCCUGCAGAUAAAUGAAGCGGCGAGCGCCGGCGAGAGGGAGGAUCCCUGGCAGCCGCCCCUCAGCCCAGAGAAACUUCAGCAACUUGGAAAUGGGCUCAGGAAGCUCCUUCCUCCUUUGAGCUGCUCGUCACCGCGCUGUGAAGCUUGUUUUCCCCUCUUGUCGGAACAAGUCUCACUCAGGCAGGAUUUGGCCAUGAAAGACACCAAUGAGAGGGCGUUGUGAUCAGCGUCCACCACCUGGUCUGCCUGCCCUGGGGCUGUCUUGAAGAUGGAGAAGGUGAGCCAUGGUCUGCCAUGCCUGAGCCCAGCUCCAGGACCACCACACAGCCCUCUCCCAAACGUCCAUCUCCCUCCAGGCCAC
rnacentral:lncRNA from 1 species